ensembl:lncRNA
GGUAUAGAGAGGGGUCAGCAGGAUCUGUAGGCUGGGGAGCAAUUGUCUUUGCCCUUAGGGUUCAUAUUUGAGGGCCUAAAAUACUACUUUGCAGUGACAUGAGAACCCCAGGAAGAGCUGUGUCAUUAGAUUUGAAAUGUGGCAGUUGUUUCUCACAAAUUAGGUCACAGGAAAAGCUCAUUUUGCACCAUGACUCCAUCCUUUUGCUUUAGAUUUUUAGAGUAAAUCUUACAGUGUUGAAGUCUGUACCUUCGUAAUGAAACCACCAAGCAAGCAUACCCUGUGGUGAGACGGAGAGGAAAUGUGUGGACCCAGUGUAUUCCGGUUUCAUGCUGGCUUUAUCACUAGUCAUCAAAGUUAUGUUUUCGAAAAUAGAGAUGUUACCAGCCUUGCGCCCAAGAGUAUAUGCUCAGGAUUGGGUGCCCCCCAUCCAAUUAAUAAUGGUGGGUUUGUAUUGAGCCAUUCAUAUUUCAGCCACCUUAGUGUACAUCAGCAUUUCAUUCAACAAACACUUUUUGGCUCUGGGGAUACAAAGUUCAAAAAGCUGCAGUCCCUGACUUAAAAGAAUUUUCAUACUGGUGUGGGAUCAACUGACUGUUAAUAGUUCAGUGUGAUAAAUGCUAUAAAUGGGUACACAUUUUUUAUUUGGGGGCAGAGGCAACUGGUUGGUAUAGUUCACGGUGCUGAAGUAGGAGGGUGACAGUUGGUUCAUAUGUGGAAAAGGCUCAUGUGACCUUGGAUGAAUGUAGCUAAAUAGCUAUAGAUCCACCACAACAAGGGCUUGUUUUACUCCAGGAAAUAAAGGUAACUAAAGGUUAGUUAGACAUGCUGUUACUGAGAGGGGAAACAGCAGGUGAGUGGGCAUUGAGAACCUGAUUUCUGCCCCUAUUUUAGGCUCUCUGCCUAAGAAUUUAAUGGUCCAGUUAAUUCUUGCUUAUGGGAAGUAUUAACUGUGUUGCAGGUGUGUUGUUACAUUAUUGUGGGUUCUGUAACAUUGUUUCCUCAUGGACAUUUUAUCAGAGCUGCUCACAUCUUUUUCAGUUUCUCAUCCUUUUUGGAGGAGUUAACAUGAGGCUGGCUUGAAGCCUAAAACAGGGACAUACUUUCCAAUGACAGGUGUGCUAAGAAGAAGGCUUGGGGCACUUCUCUUAACACCUGGGCAUCUGUUCUGGGCAGUGUAGUAGUUUUAGUCAGCGCUGCAAGAUGGUAAUUUCUAAGCAGAUGCUUGUGUCAAUUGUGUGGAAACCUUGCCCAGAAAUACACAUCCCCCAGAGUUUCAGAUUUAGUCAAUCUAGGGAGGUCUAGGGUGAGGCCUUGCCUUGUUAGGAAAAAGCCUUCUUAGUUCUGACCCAUACCACGACAUGAAAAAGAUGCUUUUCUCUGCCUGGAUAAUUGAGAGCUGACUAGCUUUGAAAGUCAGAAUUCCCAGGAAUUAGAGUAACUUUUGGAAAAUUAAAGUGUAAUGGUUCUUUGGCUAGCUUCAUAAAAACAGUUCCAGUUUCUUUUUGCUUGCUCUGGAUUUCUUGAAUUUUAAACUACCUCAUCUUGUCUUUUUAGAGUUGCUUCACCUUGUCGUUGCUACUUUAACAUCACACUUGACUCGGUUGUUUUCUAAGAUGGGAUUUUUCCUGCUCAUGGACAGCAUGUUCUUUUGCCUUUUCAUCCUGAUCCUCUUUUCACCUAACAUCAUCUCCUAUUGCUCCUCUAUCAGAGAAGUGUUUUAAAAUAGUUUAAAAUUUGGUUUAUGGGAAGAAAGUGAUCCUCCAAAGCUAUUUGUCUCUGAGGUCAGUGAGAGAAGGAGUUAAAACAAGGUGGUGGGAGAGGGGACAGAACCUGCACUGGUGGCACCGACAAGGGAAGAGCCAUUAAUUAAGACAAUUUCAGAGUCAACUGAUUGUGAUCAUUAAUGUCACAAUAGAUCAAAACCUAAUUAUCACAGCCUAGGUAAGAGCCAUCAGUAUUAAUCGGAAAAUCUAAUAGGAAACUAUUAUCAAGAAAUUAGGCCAAAUUGAAUGCAAUGAACUUUUUAUCUUGUCAUUCUCCUCUUUUUUUUUUUUUCCUGUUUUGUGAUGUCCCCUGGCAUUGGCAGGUGUGACCCUCACAGUUGAUCCAGGCCCCAGUGGCCAGUUCAUCACCCUUUUUCAGAAAUUCCACCACAGACUGAAGCUGAACUGUCAUUGCUGCUUUAAUCAGUCUUGAACUUUCUCAUCACCUGGAGUUGUUCAGUGUGAUCAGCAAUACAUGGAAAAAGGUUUAUAUUUAGGUCUUGGAAUGGUGGGUCCUUCCUGGAACUGGAGUGUCCCUGGUGAAUGUUAUAUCGUGUGCUGAUAAAUCAUUCUUGGAGCUUCCAGCGUAUGUGGAACCCUGCUCUGGCUGCUGCCGAUGGGUAUGGGGGCCAGGAGGGUGUCCUGCCUGGAGAUUGUUUGAGACGAUAGAGUUUAAUCAGGUUACGGCACUUUUCAGUCUCAAGUGAAUGUUUUACAGGUAGCUUUAUGAUUUGAUUCCAAACCAGGGCUGGCUGUGGGUUUAGGGUUUUCCCUCUCCUUUUAGGAUAAGGGUCGUAAUGAUUUCCACCAGAUUCCAGUGUAAAUCCAAAGGAGGUGAAGAAGUGUUUUUCCUUUUGCCUUUCUUUUGUUAAGGACUUAUGCCUCUGGCAGGAGGAAAAAAUACUACAAGAGUCUUAUGACUAAUGAUAGAGAACAUUUCAUCCCCUCUCCCUGAAUGCCAAGAUAGGGGUCACCAUUUAUAUCUUUAAUCUUCAGCUGCUGUGGAGAUGCUGCACCUCCUAAAGUCAAGCUGAGGCAGGAAGGUUGGGAAGGUGCCCUCUGGGUGUUGGGGGACGGGCAGGAAGCAGCAGGAGGGGUUCGGUGGUGCUAGGAUUCCUACCUCCUGGCUGAGCCUCUAGAGGAUGUUGCUGCUGCGGGUGCUGUUGCUGGCCUUUCCCCACCAACCUUGCAGCUCAGCACUGCCCACACCAGCCCUGGGGAAAUGGUUCUUACCUUCCUGCUGGAGUGUGGUCUUGUGUCGUUCUGGAUUUUAGGAAUUUGGAUUACUCAGUGCAGAACUUUGAGAAUUGGUGUGACUUAGUCCUUCACCUCUUAGGGUAAAGUGAAUAUUUCUUUAUAAAAGAAUCAUGCCCUUAAUGUUUAAAACAUAAUUUUAUUUUCAAAAUGUCCGUUAAUACAUGACUUUCAGAAUCAGUUUGUUUCUCCAAGGUUCCUCGCUAGAUAAAUAAUAGGCCCUCAGUUAAUACUUGGGGGUUGAUUGAGUUCAUCUAGUUUGCAGAGGUGUGCCUGCCUGCCUUUUGCUCCCAAGUGUGCUCUAAGAAGUCAGAUGCUCUAAGGAGUGGAACAAGAACUGAGUGGGUGCUGACUGUGUGUGCCAACCUCCUCAACUGAUCCAUAAUGGUUGACCUUGGGCAAGUCACUCCUUUCAAUGCCUCAGUUCCCCAUCUGUCAAAUGGGGGUAAUAAUACUGACCUACCUCACAGGGGUGUUGUGAGGCAUUGUAAAUCAAAGUUGAUAGAAUACUUUAGGGUCCUAGAUGGAGGAUGCCUUGAGCUGAAGUCUAGGGCUGACAUAGGCUUUAGUCCUCACUGAGCUGUCCCAAGGUUUUAACUACUUAGUGACCUUGGCAAGAUCUCUGCCCCCCACCCCUCAUCAAAGCUGCUAGUCCAGAUGUUGACAGUGUUUUCGUGAAUGUUGGAGUCUUAAUAGUCCAGACGUAGGAUGUUAUGGAGGAAGGCACUUAGUAUUUUCUAUGUCUUGCAUCCACAAAGAGGCUGUUUCACACUCAAGAGCAUUGGAUUAGGGAAUCAUGAGGCAAGGAUGCUACUGUUUGUUUCUCUUCAGGUUGGGAAUUAAGGUCCCAUACCCCAGGGGCUUGGGACAGACUGGGGCUGUCUCAGGGGCAAAGCAAACACAGUGGGUUUGACUUAUGUAGUUGCUUAUUGCUCCCCGAACUGAUCCCCAGACAUCUAGGUCACUGCAGCACUUCGUGAUAUCUGUACCUGAGCCUCCGCCUCCCCAGAGGAACCAGCUGGUUCGAUAAACAUAACCAUUUCCUCCAUCCCCCGCCAGAAAAGAGCCACAUUGGAAGUUUUUUUUCUAGAUAUAUGUUUAACACUCAGAAUCGGGCAUUGGUACUCCUUAAAACUUCAUCCAAUUCACUGUAUUCAGCAUCUGUCACCUCUUUCUCAGUGUCCACAGUCUGAACCUGACAUUGAUGUCUUUUCACUCUGGUUUUGGAAAACUUUGGACACUAUUUCUGUUUGCCCAGGUGUGGGCUCAAGAGCCUUACUCUCUAUCUCAGUUUAGGGGCUCAUCUGGCUCCUCUACCCAAUAGGGCUCUUUCUCUUUCCCUCUCCUUGGCCCUAGAUUUGUAACUCGUGAAAAAGCACAAGGUCCUGGCCCCUUGCUGUGGUCACAUUCUGGUUCUCCGUGUUUUGUGGACUCUGCUCUGCUCUUCACCCAGCACUGGCGGCACCAGAUGGUUCUGUGGAGUCCUGGAGGAUGGAGAGAGCACAGUCUGACAUCCUGCCAAGUAGCCAGGAGUUGAUUCACCCAUGGCCUCCCCACCCCUUCCCACAGGAUGGGAUCUAGGAGACUCGAGAGGCUGGGUUUCUUUCAGCAUUCUGUACCAUCCUGAAUAGCAAAACAAAUCACACUUGGUAGCCAGAUUUCUGAAUGGAAAAAUGAGAAAUUGAAUUCUCUAUGGACCUUUUUGGUUUGUGGGGGAGUUUUGGUUGUGUUUCUUGGUUCUAUUUCAGCCAAACAUGUCUGCUUUUGAUUUUUUUUAGGAUAAGUGAUAUAUAUAUAUGUUCGCCUUUUAAAUGUAAAUGUUUAAAAGUAGGCAAUUUAUGUGUUUCGACAACUGACAUCCAACGCAGACCUCAUUCUCUCCCCCUCUUCCACCCUCCUCUUUUCCCUCUUUUCAUACUCUUGUAUUGGUUCUAAUAAAUGGUUGCUUUUCAAAUAUGGAUCCUGA